AAUCCAUUAAGCAUGUUCAUUAUGCAAUAACCGAACUUGCAUGUAUCCAAACAAGAAGAGAGAGUGGCCGAAGUUCAUGUGAAAACCUAAAAGUUGACGGUGGUAUAGCUCUUCUUCCUCUUGAGUUCGACUAAUUGGAGUUCUAAGAAACACAGACGAUUUCUGACAUUUUCUUCUUCAGCAAUUCGUGACACAGGUUCAGAGAUUCAAUAAGAAGAUGCAGACGACUAGUAGAUUUACUUGUGAUUCCUGUUGUUUUUAUAGAGUUCCCUCGCCCUUGUUGCUUCAGAGUUUUUAUUUUA